rnacentral:rRNA from 1 species
GACGAACGCUGGCGGCGUGCUUAACACAUGCAAGUCGAACGGAAAGGCCCUGCUUUUGUGGGGUGCUCGAGUGGCGAACGGGUGAGUAACACGUGAGUAACCUGCCCUUGACUUUGGGAUAACUUCAGGAAACUGGGGCUAAUACCGGAUAGGAGCUCCUGCUGCAUGGUGGGGGUUGGAAAGUUUCGGCGGUUGGGGAUGGACUCGCGGCUUAUCAGCUUGUUGGCGGGGUAGUGGCUUACCAAGGCUUUGACGGGUAGCCGGCCUGAGGGGGUGACCGGCCACAUUGGGACUGAGAUACGGCCCAGACUCCUACGGGAGGCAGCAGUGGGGAAUAUUGCACAAUGGGCGGAAGCCUGAUGCAGCAACGCCGCGUGCGGGAUGACGGCCUUCGGGUUGUAAACCGCUGUCGCCUGUGACGAAGCGUGAGUGACGGUAAUGGGUAAAGAAGCACCGGCUAACUACGUG